rnacentral:rRNA from 1 species
UACGUAGGGGGCAAGCGUUGUCCGGAUUUAUUGGGCGUAAAGAGCGUGUAGGCGGCCAGUUAGGUCCGUUGUGAAAACUCGAGACUCAACCUCGAGACGCCGAUGGAAACCAACUGGCUAGAGUCCGGAAGAGGAGAGUGGAAUUCCCGGUGUAGCGGUGAAAUGCGCAGAUAUCGGGAAGAACACCCGUGGCUAAGGCGGCUCUCUAGUACGGUACUGACGCUGAGACGCGAAAGCGUGGGGAGCGAACAGG